CCACAUAAAGCAGCAGCAGCAGCUUCUCUCUUUGUCUCUCUCUCUCUCGCGCUGCUGCUUCUCCUACGACUAAAACGUAAUCCUCCAUCCCCGACAGAUCUACCCUUGCCCUAUUUCCAUUUAGAUUUAGGGCUUCGAAAAGCUCACAAUUACCCCACCGGCACGAUAGAAUUAGCGGAAACCCUCACGAGAUUUCCGUCUUCCUGAGGAGAUUUUGACUGGCGGCCGGUGCUUCCCGCUGCCCCCUUCGCUUGCCAUGGCAUCGGCGCCUCCGCCGGGAGGCGGCAAGGUCUACACCCGUAAAUCCCUCAACAAGGCCGCCAAGACCGCCUUCCACCCCCGCCCCCCUCCGCCGCCCCACGAUGACCUCGACUCACCCCGCUGCCAACCCCCGCCUCACCCCGUCGCCUCCGACGACGCUUCCUCCGGCCCCAACCGACCCUCCGCUCGCCCGCCGCUCGCCAACGGCCGCGGCUCCCUUGGCCGGAGCGUCGCCUCUCGGUCGCGGAAAGAGGCGCGGGAGCUGCGGCGGAAGCUCGCCGCCGAGCUCGACCUGGUCCGUGCCCUCUCCAAGCGGCUUGAGGCCCAUGAGCUUCAGCUAGCCUCGGCCGCCGGGUACACCCGCUCCCAGCUCUCUGUUACGGACCCCAACACCCCCGGAUCUGGGGGGAGGGCGCCCGAGGUGGCGGCGACCGCCGGACCCCUCCGCCGCCAGCUCAGUGUAUCCGUCGCUGCCUCCGAGAAUAACCCGGGUGAGGGCGCGGAGAAGGAGAAGCGGACGCCCAAGGCGAACCAGUAUUACCGGAAUUCUGACUUCGUACUUGGGAAGGAGAAAUCUGCCCCGAACGACCAGCAUAGCCACAAGAAAUCGAAAGCCAUUGGUGGAAAGAAGCCAUCUUCGGAAUUGCCGAAUGCUGGCAGUGAAGGGCUGGUGGAUAAGAAACUCUAUGCGCAGGCAUUCAAGAGUUGCAGCACGCUUCUCUCGAGGUUGAUGAAGCACAAGCAUGGAUGGGUGUUCAAUGUGCCGGUUGACGUGAAGGCCCUAGGUUUGCAUGACUAUUAUAGCAUCAUCAAGUGCCCGAUGGACCUUGGCACCGUGAAGUCUCGGCUUGCAGAUGACUGCUACAAUUCACCUCAUGAGUUUGCGGAGGACGUGAGACUGACGUUCUGGAAUGCAAUGACUUACAACCUCAAGGGGCAGGACGUGCAUGCCAUGGCCGAUCAGUUACUCCAAAUAUUCGAGGAGCGGUGGCUUGCCAUAGAAGCUGAGUUUGCACACCUUCCUCGUCCACCAAUAACCAAGAAGCCUCCGCCACUCGACUUGAGGAUGUUGGAGAGGUCUGAUUCCACUGUACAUCCUGUGGCAGCCGAACCAAUAACGAAGCAAGUGAAUCAUUCCACACACAUUGGAAGAGUUCCAGCUCCCAAGAAGCCGAAGGCUAAGGAUCCGAACAAGAGGGAUAUGACAUUUGAGGAGAAGCAGAAACUGAGCAACAGCCUGCAGAACCUGCCCCCGGAAAAGCUGGAGAGCAUUGUGCAGAUUAUUAAGAAGCGGAAUUCGUCUCUGAGCCAGCAUGAUGAUGAAAUUGAAGUGGACAUAGACAGUGUGGACGUGGAGACUCUCUGGGAACUUGACAGAUUCAUCACAAAUUACAAAAAGGCUUUGAGCAAGAACAAAAGGAAAGCCGAACUUGCCACUUCGGUAAGGCAAGCAGUUGGGCAUAAUGCACCAGAAGUGGUGCAUACAAUGACUCAGGAACCUGUUGAUGCCGAUGAACCUGAGAAAAUGGUGGAUGAGAAAUAUGUGGCUUCUUCCUCACCAGUUGGAGGAGAAAAGGAAGGGGAAAAUGCAAUAAGAACUAGCAGCUCCAGCAGCGAUUCUGGUUCCUCAUCCAGUGAUUCUGACAGUGAAAGUUCCUCUGCCUAUGGCUCGGAUGCACCACUCUCACACUCACCUAGGACGUGAAUGAAUCAAGGCAAUGCAGAAGCUCUGGAACAGCAUGGUACAUGUUUCAUAAGAUGGUGUCCCAUGCUGCUAGGGCAGCAAGUGGGUUUGGUUUUAAAUCAAACUCCUUCAAGCCGGUCUGUGGAUUGGGUUCAAUGAGCACCAAUUUGGAUUGGUUUAGAAUCCAAUUAUAAUUCAAUUGAAAACUAUUCUAACAUGACCCAACUGGAACUCAAUACAAUUUGGCAAUCUAAUAUGCAUGUUACAUAAGCAAGUAUAUGGAUCAUUUUAAAAUGGAGUUGCUUCUCGAAAAAAGAGUGCGACAGUCGUCCACACGAAACAAUCAAGGUGCUCUUUGUUCUGUUAUGACUUGUAGAAUUGUAAGCUAUAAGCUCCUGGCAGCAGUCAUUCGAAAGCCUGCAGAAGCAAGGGUUCUGCCAUAUUCUGCUGAUGCAGCACUGGAUUAUGUUGGUGUAAUCUAUAGGUACAAGGGAAGCUUUCGUUUCAAUUUGGUCACACACAGACACUGUGACUAAUAAUGUAUUUGUUGCUUCUCGGAGCUGUGCUUCACCAGUAACCUAUGGUGAUUCGGUGGUCGUGGCAUCGAGGAACUAUUUCGGUCUCGCAAAAAUCCGCAAGAUUUCCCUUUGAUUUGGAUAGUUUGGUGUAAAUAAUAUGCACACGAAUCUCUGACUUAAUGCAGUCCAGCACUCGAUACUGUUGCUCGCCGUAGUAGAGCUGGUAUUUCAUCAUCCUGCAGGGCUUCUGAUGUUAUUUUGUCAUUGUCGAUGCAAGCGAAAGCAGCUAAAACAGGAGUUCCCAUCAAGCAUGCCAGCUAUAUCAUUUGGACCAUCACUUCUCCGGUAUCAGUGAGCAAGAGACGCACACAAGCCACCGAGGACAUCGGUGAGGCCGUCCAAGGUAACAGUAGCACUGCACGGUUCUUUAAUGUUUGUGGGGGUUGAUCGAGUCUGUGGUCUCUAUUCCUGUUUCUUCAUUAAUGUUUGUGGGGGUUGAUUAAGUAUUUUGCAUACAGAUUGCUGAUCUAUACCAUAUAGUCUGUUUCCGAAUAGUUAAAUAGUUGGAAUAAUUAUUGUGUGCUUUGCUAA